GAUGAACGCUGGCGGCGUGCCUAAUACAUGCAAGUCGAGCGAACGGACGAGAAGCUUGCUUCUCUGAUGUUAGCGGCGGACGGGUGAGUAACACGUGGAUAACCUACCUAUAAGACUGGGAUAACUUCGGGAAACCGGAGCUAAUACCGGAUAAUGUUUUGAACCGCAUGGUUCAAAAGUGAAAGACGGUCUUGCUGUCACUUAUAGAUGGAUCCGCGCUGCAUUAGCUAGUUGGUAAGGUAACGGCUUACCAAGGCAACGAUGCAUAGCCGACCUGAGAGGGUGAUCGGCCACACUGGAACUGAGACACGGUCCAGACUCCUACGGGAGGCAGCAGUAGGGAAUCUUCCGCAAUGGGCGAAAGCCUGACGGAGCAACGCCGCGUGAGUGAUGAAGGUCUUCGGAUCGUAAAACUCUGUUAUUAGGGAAGAACAUAUGUGUAAGUAACUGUGCACAUCUUGACGGUACCUAAUCAGAAAGCCACGGCUAACUACGUGCCAGCAGCCGCGGUAAUACGUAGGUGGCAAGCGUUAUCCGGAAUUAUUGGGCGUAAAGCGCGCGUAGGCGGUUUUUUAAGUCUGAUGUGAAAGCCCACGGCUCAACCGUGGAGGGUCAUUGGAAACUGGAAAACUUGAGUGCAGAAGAGGAAAGUGGAAUUCCAUGUGUAGCGGUGAAAUGCGCAGAGAUAUGGAGGAACACCAGUGGCGAAGGCGACUUUCUGGUCUGUAACUGACGCUGAUGUGCGAAAGCGUGGGGAUCAAACAGGAUUAGAUACCCUGGUAGUCCACGCCGUAAACGAUGAGUGCUAAGUGUUAGGGGGUUUCCGCCCCUUAGUGCUGCAGCUAACGCAUUAAGCACUCCGCCUGGGGAGUACGACCGCAAGGUUGAAACUCAAAGGAAUUGACGGGGACCCGCACAAGCGGUGGAGCAUGUGGUUUAAUUCGAAGCAACGCGAAGAACCUUACCAAAUCUUGACAUCCUUUGACAACUCUAGAGAUAGAGCUUUCCCCUUCGGGGGACAAAGUGACAGGUGGUGCAUGGUUGUCGUCAGCUCGUGUCGUGAGAUGUUGGGUUAAGUCCCGCAACGAGCGCAACCCUUAAGCUUAGUUGCCAUCAUUAAGUUGGGCACUCUAAGUUGACUGCCGGUGACAAACCGGAGGAAGGUGGGGAUGACGUCAAAUCAUCAUGCCCCUUAUGAUUUGGGCUACACACGUGCUACAAUGGACAAUACAAAGGGCAGCGAAACCGCGAGGUCAAGCAAAUCCCAUAAAGUUGUUCUCAGUUCGGAUUGUAGUCUGCAACUCGACUACAUGAAGCUGGAAUCGCUAGUAAUCGUAGAUCAGCAUGCUACGGUGAAUACGUUCCCGGGUCU
rnacentral:rRNA from 1 species